AGUUCGGAUAAGAGGCUGAAACUCGCCUCUUUGAAGUCGGAAUCGCUAGUAAUCGCAGAUCAGCAUGUUGCGGUGAAUACGUUUCCUGGUCUUGUACACACCGCCCGUCAAACCAUGAGAGUCGCCAACACCCGAAGUCCGCUUUGCGGCCUAAGGUGGGGGAGAUGAUUGGGGUUAAGUCGUAACAAGGUAGC
rnacentral:rRNA from 1 species